CGAAUUAGAACAACCUGAAUAUGAAUAGAAAUGGAAGCUUUGCCUCUUUUGUUUAAUGCGCAUGCGCCAAAUUAAUACGUAAUGACGGCGCACUACUUCAGCAGAUUUUGAAAAAUGCGCUGUGCGCCAUGUUUGUGUAAUCGCGAUGCGUGAGGGAACAAACAAGAAGAGAAUGAUUACAGAUGAGAUUUUAUGAUCAGUACAGUUUUGUUACUGGAGAUAAGUUACAUGGUGGAAACACAGACCAGUGCUGAAGAGGUGAUGUUAGAAGUUUUUAAUGAAUUGUUGCCCAGCCAGCUCGCCUUGAUCACACAUUAUAAGCUAAAAGUGCCAUUAAGUCACUAUCCAUAUGGAUUUUAACUGCUUUGAAUCUUUUCCAUUUGCAAGUAAUAUAUUCCCUCCUGUGCAUUUACAGACCCCCCUCUAAUCAUCUUAUAUUUUACAGGUAACAAACCAAAGGAUGAGGACAGUAGCUUUUCUGUGCCAGCCGUGAUGAAUAAAGUAACAUCCUUCAUGAAGAUGUGUGAGAGAAGCUUGUAAGCCAGGGUCAGUGAAGAUUGUGUGGUCAGUGGAAUUCUGCUGUUUAUGGGAAGCGUAAAGGAACAUCUCCCAGCAUUCUUCUUGAUGAUUGAGGUAACGUUAAUUCAUGAUGCAGAUGUGGUCAAAAGUUUACACACACCUUGCAGAAUAUACUGCUUCAUUAGGGCUGUCAUUUUUUUAAUGAUUCUACAUCUCUGCCCUCUUACUGCUUAAAUUAUUAACAUUUGCUGAUACUGCAAGGUGUAUGUAAACUUUAGACUGCAGUUGUGUGUAUUGCUUUCACUCAACUGAACCAUUUAUAAUGAAUGACUGGAUAUGUUUUAUAACAAUAGUUGUUCUUCUGUUUUGUUUUUUUUCUUUCUUUCCUCAAG
ensembl:lncRNA